CGCAGCCGCGGUAAUUCCAGCUCCAAUAGCGUAUAUUAAAGUUGUUGCAGUUAAAAAGCUCGUAGUUGAAUUUCGGGGUUAGUACGCUGGUCGUGCCUUCGGUAUGUACUGGUGUUUCUGAUUCCUACCUUCUGAAGAACCGUCAUGUCAUUAAUUUGGUGUGGCGGGGAAUUAGGACUGUUACUUUGAAAAAAUUGGAGUGUUUAAAGCAGGCUCGCGCUUGAAUACAUUAGCAUGGAAUAAUGAAAUAGGACGUUCGAUCCUAUUUUGUUGGUUUCUAGGAUUGACGUAAUGAUUAAUAGGGAUAGUUGGGGGCAUUAGUAUUCAAUUGUCAGAGGUGAAAUUCUUGGAUUUAUUGAAGACUAACUACUGCGAAAGCAUUUUGCCAAGGAUGUUUUCAUUAAUCAAGAACGAAAGUUAGGGGAUCGAAGACGAUCAGAUACCGUCGUA
rnacentral:rRNA from 1 species